CUUCUAAGAUUAGAUCCAAAAUCUAGCAUUGCUUCUUCACUUAAACCAUUCUGACCAGCAAAAUUCUCUCUGGGCUCAAGCCUUUGAAUUCCAUCCCAGUCCGCAAAUUUACAACCUACAAGAUCAUCCUUGCAAAGAAUAACAGCUGUAGAAGUUAACAAGCACAUGCCCUUUGCACAUGUAUAAGCAUCUGCGAACCUAUUUACCAGCUUCUCACUUACACCUCCAAAUGAACAACAGCAAGCUCCAAACCAGUUGUCAGCCAUCUCUCGCCAGUUAACUGAUGGCAUUUCCACGAACUGUCUGAUGCAACUUCUAGUCAAUCUAGUUGAGCAACUUCUGCAGUAAAAAUGCACUCCUUCCAUUGAAGAUAAACUCUUCAAAUCAGAGUCCAUAUCCAGUGGUUUUACUGAAUCCAAAACCUCACUAUUCUCUCCAUCAUCGCUUAAACUCAAGUCGGAAAAUAUGGGGUGAUCAAUGGGGAGAAGCAACACAAGCUUAACUUCAAUGUGAUCAUCGAGGGCUCUAAAAGUCACCGGAGAAUCGGGGUCGAUCAGAACCUUAGGAAUCGGAACCGUAAGCGAGAGCUUCUCGGUACCUUCUCCAGUCCAGCUCACAAGAAGAUGAGAUUGUGGAAGAUUUAGCUGGACCUCAAGGUUUCUGCAAUGAAUUGAAGAUUUUGUUAGGGAAUCGAAGAGGAAUAGUUUGAGAUUAGGGGUGUGAGAUUGGGCCUCCCAUGUGAACCUCCAUUUUCUAGGGUUUUCAGAGCACAUUUUUUCUGUUUGC
rnacentral:misc_RNA from 1 species